rnacentral:rRNA from 1 species
CGAACGCUGGCGGCGUGCUUAAGACAUGCAAGUCGAGCGAGAAAGCCACCUUCGGGUGGUGAGUAAAGCGGCGCACGGGUGAGUAACGCGUGGAUAAUCUACCUGUAGGCCUGGGAUAACUCCGGGAAACUGGAGCUAAUACCGGAUAAGACCACGGGGUCUUUGGAUUCUGCGGAAAAAGGUGGCCUCUUCUUGAAAGCUACCGCCUAUCGAUGAGUCCGCGUCCCAUUAGCUUGUUGGUGAGGUAAAGGCUCACCAAGGCUUCGAUGGGUAGCUGGUCUGAGAGGAUGAUCAGCCACACUGGAACUGAGACACGGUCCAGACUCCUGCGGGAGGCAGCAGUCGGGAAUUUUGGGCAAUGGGGGAAACCCUGACCCAGCAACGCCGCGUGAGGGAUGAAGGCCUUCGGGUCGUAAACCUCUGUCGGAAGGGAAGAAAGGUCUCCGUUCAAAUAGAGCGGGGGCUUGACGGUACCUUCAAAGGAAGCACCGGCUAACUCC